GCCGGGGAAGCGGGCGAAGCGCGAGGAGGAGGGAGGUGGCGGGGGGUGCUGGAUCAGGCCGCUGGGCUCCGGGAGGACACGUGGGGGAGGAGGGGAAGGAGGAGGAGGAAGGGGGGGCGGGCCUGCAGUUCUCGGGGCUCCCCCUGCCAGCCCCGGGGAAGCCGGAACCUCGCCAGGCAGCCGCAGACCCCGCACUGGCCACGGGGGAAGAACGGAGCCACCUUCCCCGGCCAGCCCUUGGCUCCAGGAAGGAGGGGGGGCGAGCAACGCCGCUCGGGGUCGGAGAGCAAGCGUUUUCGCUCGAGCUUUCUGUGUGACUCUCUCUCUCGGUUUAGCCUCUGUGUAAGCGGGUGGUGGUUAGGGUCUUGCGUGCGCGGGGUGGGGGGCGCCCUCGCCGGACGCCCCGCCCCUCCCCCGGUCCCCCACUUCCCUAACCCGGGCGACCUCGGUGCGUGGCUCCGACGCUUGGGCACCGAGGCCGCCCGCGGGUGCAGCCCCAGCCCCGGCGCCGAAGUGGGACAGGCCCAGAGGUUCCAUCCCUAAGCUAUGGGGUGUCUUCUCUCCUUUGGAAGGACUUUAGAGAUGGCAGUUGAGACUUGCCUGGACACCCUUCACCUGCCCAAAUCCUUCAAACCCCAUUUCCAUGAAGCUUUUGCUGAAUACUUUUGCCUCUGAACUCUUGACCCCAUAGAAACACAGGUUCAAUCCUGGUC
ensembl:lncRNA